UUCAGUAAAAUUAAGAUUAAAAAUUAUGAACUAUAUUAUAUAAUUUUACAGGAAUAUUAGCUAUGUCCUAGAGUGUAGGAAACUACAGAUGGAAAUUACCAACACAAGCAGUUGCCGUUGUUCAUACACAUGUAUAUGUGUGUAAUUUGAAUUUAUACUAAAUAAAAGCCCAGAACCAAUAGAGGCUUUGGGAUUCUGCAUCAAAAGAACAAUUAUGCUAAAAGGCAACAAAUGAGGAUUCUAGCAGGUGAUACCUAAAAAACACCUGAGAAUACUUUUGUAUCCAUGUUUUUUCCUGUCGUUUGGCAGAAAUAUUGAAAAUACUAAAUAUUUCUGCUUAUAAUUUUUUAAAAAUAGCCGUGACUUGAUAACAUUCUGAAAUCAUUUGUGUGGCAAUUCAGAUUAUUGUGCUGUCAUUUAAGGGUGUAAAUAAAAGGGUCAUGGCCAUUUAUCUCUCUUGUUAAUAUCUGGUGCACUAUUCCCAAAGAGAGGAGUUUUUCACCACAGGAAUACUACAGUACUUAAAAAAAAUUCUUCUCGCACUAUCUCAUUUAAGCUUCAUAUCCAAGGUAAGCUUUUUCAGAAGCAGAAAUUGGGAUGCACAUUAAAAUGACUUGCCCAGAGUCAUGUAGCAAUUUAGUGGCAGAACCAGGAUUAGGACCCAGGUCUGUGACAUUAACCUUUCCCCUUGCUCCCUAGUUUACUACAUCCAGUGGAGCUCUGGAACAUUUUACCAUAAAUAGAUAAGAUUUUAUACAUACACCAAUAAUGUAUAAUAUAUAGCAAUCAUUAAUAAGUUUUCCUCAAUAAUGAACAGAAAAUUAGUGAGGAUAAUAGCAGCAAGAAUAAUAGAUAUUAUUAAGCACUUAACAUGGUCUAGUAAAGACUUUAUUUGAAUUAUCUUAUUGAAUUCUUACUGUUGCCCGUAUUUCACAUUGAGGCAAUGGAGGCACAGUGAUAAAUGAAGUCAGAUGUUGAUAAUUUGGAUUCUGAAGAAAGAGAAAAUCUGUUUAUUUGAGUCUUAAAAAUCCCUUCCUAUUUUCAAAUUACAAAAAAAUUUGGAAGUAACAUCUAAAAGAAAGGAACAUAGGGAAUCAGUAUAAGAUCCAUCUGUCAAUUAGAAAAUAAAAGCAGAUGGUAGUGAAAGUGAUUAUACUUGAGAGCACAUUAUUUAAAAUCACUGGUCCUCAAAAUGUGUAGUGCCCUGACCAGCAGCAUCAGCAUCCCCAGAGACUUCGUAGAAAUGCAAGUUCUUGGUCCCACCUUAGACCUACUGAAUCUGCAGCUUUCGAGAUGAAGCCGAAGCAGUCAUGAAUUAAUUUGAAUUAACUUGCCUUAAGUGCAGUUAUAGACUAAAAGUUUCCAGUUAACAGUUUCUUGGGAGUGGUUAUCCAGCUUUUUAAACAUUUUUAUCCCCAAGAAUAUCCCCUGAAAUAAUUUCAAACAGUGAGCAAGCACAAACUGUAAUUUUUAAAACCCUCUAAAAAGUAAUUCAAACUAGUAUGCAGUAUUGGUGUGAAUUGCACCUAAGGAAUACAUUUCUAAUGGGUUACAUUUCAGUUCGAUUCUACAUGGUUAUAAGAGCUUGUGUGAGUGCAGUUUCUUUGAGGGGUGCUUCUUUGAGAGGUGUGGUGGGGAUGAGUCGGAGGUGGAAUCUGGCUCCUCAGAUGAACAAAAAAGAAAGUUAAAUGACUUAUCUCGGGCACAGCUGGCUUGAGCAACUGAACUGGAAACAAGAUGCAGGACCCCAACGCAGACACUGAGUGGAAUGACAUCUUACGCAAAAAGGGUAUCUUACCCCCCAAGGAAAGUCUGAAAGAAUUGGAAGAGGAGGCAGAAGAGGAGCAGCGCAUCCUCCAGCAGUCAGUGGUGAAAACAUGAAGAUAUGACUUUGAAAGAGCUGGAGGAUCAUGAAGACAAGUUUAAUGGGCAGGAUGAACGUGCUAUUGAAAUGUACGGACGGCAGAGACUGGCUGAGUGGAAAGCAACAAAACUGAAGAAUAAAUUUGGAGAAGUUUUGGAGAUCUCAGGGAAGGAUUAUGUUCAAGAAGUUACCAAAGCUGGCGAGGGCUUGUGGGUCAUCUUGCACCUUUACAAACAAGGAAUUCCCCUCUGUGCCCUGAUAAAUCAGCACCUCAGUGGACUUGCCAGGAAGUUUCCUGAUGUCAAAUUUAUCAAAGCCAUUUCAACAACUUGCAUACCCAAUUAUCCUGAUAGGAAUCUGCCCACGAUAUUUGUUUACCUGGAAGGAGAUAUCAAGGCUCAGUUUAUUGGUCCUCUGGUGUUUGGCGGCAUGAACCUGACAGGAGAUGAGUUGGAAUGGAAAUUGUCUGAAUCUGGAGCAAUUAUGACGGACCUGGAGGAAAACCCUAGAAGCUGAUUGAAGACGUGUUGCUGUCCUCAGUGAGGCGCUCUGUCCUCAUGAGGAGGGACAGCGAUUCCGAGAGUGACUGAGGCUACAGCUGCUAUCACAUGCCGAACUUUCUUGUGACAAAUUGGCUGGAUUUUUUAAAAAAGGAAAAAGCAAAAACGAAUCCUUGUGGUUUUUAGUUUUGUAUAAAUUAUGUUUCAAAUCUUUACAUUUUGGAAAUAAUCAUUGCUGGAGAUUCUGUUAAAUAUUUUGGAACUCUUUUUUUUAAAUUAUAGUAUUUCCUCUAAAAAAAUUAAAACCAGCCCUUUGUAUGGCAAAAAAAAAAAAAAAAAAAAAAAAAAAAAAAAAAAAAGACCUAUCUCCUAAGAUCAUCUAGUGCUUGACCUUACAAAACUAGAAGCAUGAUUAUGCUUGGAUUUUCUGACAAUAUCAUGAUAUUCUCAAAGAGGCUGUUUGAGCCAGUCAUCGUUUCUCCCCAUGUUAUAGACGAGGAAUGGAACAGACAGGGAGUAUUUAAGAGGCUUGCCUAAUGUUUUACAGGGCUGCAGUGGAGCAGCAGGGAAAGGGAAAAAAUAAUGAGACAUCUGAAGACAAGACAAAGCUUUCCUCCACCUCCAGUCCCCUGCCCUGCUCUUUUAUUCCUAACAGAGCCUGAAGCAGCAGGAUGAUGAUUCACAGGGUGAGGCACACAAUCCUCAUGGCCCUCCUCCGCUUCCCACAUGUCACUGCACCAUCACCUCACACAGCAGUCACCAUAGCUCUUGUAAUUUCAAUUUUACUACUUUUAUUUUGCUAUGUAUUUGAAUAUUAUUUUUCAUACAAUUAUUGGUUUUCAUUUAUGUGCUUUGUGUAAGGGACUACGCGUCUCUAAGUGUGGUUUUUCUUGAGGUCAUAUUUUUCCCCAUUAGAGGUUGAUGUCAUUGAUACACAAAUGAGGGUUCAUGUGGGGAGGAAAAGAUGAUAGAUAUCGCUUGUCUAUAUAACUGAACUUUUUUCUGUAGUACAUUUCUUGUGAUUAUUGAUGGAUACCUACCUAUGUGUUCUUUUUAUGUCGUAUGUGUCAGGGAUUGAAUAUUUUAUUAAUAGUACUUACCAUCAGAUAAAGUGUUCCUUUUUCUCCAGAAGAUAUUUGUUGCUUUGGUCAAAUUUUUAACCAAUAAGAAGAGGAGAUAAAGAGGAUUGAGAGAGUGGUCAGAGAAAAGUUGCUGUAGAGGUGAUGCUAUCACCAGAGUUCUUUAAAGCAGCAGUCCCCAACCUUGUUGGCACCAGGGAUGGGGGUUGGGGGUGGGAGGAAUGUGGACAGGGAGAUGGUUUUGAGAUGAAAUUGUUCCACCUCAGAUCAUCAGGCAUUAGAUUCUCAUAAGGAAUGCGCAACCUAGAUCCCUAGGUCGUGCAGUUCGCAGUCGGUUUCAUGCUCUUAGGAGAAUCUAAUGCUACUGCUGAUGCGAUGGGAGGCUGAGCUCAGGCAAUAAUGCUCACUUGCCCGCCAGUUACUUCCUGCUGUGCAGCCUGGUUCCUAACAGGGUCUGUGGCCCCAGGGGUUAGGGACCCUUCCUUUAAAGGAUAUGGUAGGUGGAAAACAAAGGUGCUCUAGGUCAGAGGGGCAGCUUAUAUGGAAAUUAGGAAAUGAGACACUGCAGUUAGUGUAUGAAGUUGAAAUCAGCCAGGUGUCACUGUAGUAUACUGUGAAGAGUGGAAUAGCUAAGACCUGAGAAGUCAACCAGCUCCUCAUGAGCUAUAUAAGGCCCUUCACUUUACCCUGCAGGUUUGGAUAGCCACUGAAAGAGCUGAAUAAAACAGCUGCUUAGGUUUCUCCUUGCAUUUCCCAAGCAGUAAGUUGUGUUAGAACUGCAUGGUAAUUUUUUGAAGGGAGUUGAAGAAAAAGGAAGAGAAAAGAGGUAACAAUAUUGAAUGUAAUAGUUCUACAUUUUAAAUGUAUUGUACUGAUAUUUAUCAUACUAUGUACUAGGCAUUUUGCUAAACACUGGGAAUGUAGUGGUAACUGGCCCUAUUGCUGCCUUUUUCCUAGUAUGAUGAUAUGCUGGCUAUUUUAUUAUCUUACGGCAGAAGUCCUUUUGUUAGAUACACUUCAGUGUCGAUUUAAAAAGACCCUUAGAAUGCCAACAUUUUUAUGUUUCUCAUCAAAUAUUAGUCAUUAAGCAUAUAAAUAUUAUAAGAUAUUAUAUUGCUAUCCAAGCCAGAAGCUCAUUUAGGGCAGAAGAUACUGGGUGCUUCCCGUGUUUCUCAAUGUUCUGUGUCAGCCUGUAAAGUAAGAGGUAUAUAGUCUAAAUGAUCUUUCAGUUCUCUUAUAUAUAGAUAGCUAAUGCAGACAUGCAGUUUGGUAAAACCUGGCACUUCAAACACAUAAUUUAAAAUUAAAGAGACAGCCAUAUAGUUUUCAUAUUUAUUUUGAAGUUAUUUUUGUGGCUCUGUUCUCAGAGAGACUAGGGAUCUGGAUUCUACAGAAAGAUACCUUCUUGCAUAGAUUAGUCAUAACUCAACUUUUUAAUUUACAAUUAUGCAAUCAGUGCUGUACUGGUAAAAAAUUCCAAAUGACAGUAUGAAUUAUAUUUUAGAAAAUGAGACAUACCUUAUAAUUUUCUAGGUUUUUGUUUAGUUGGUUGAUUUUCAAAUUUCUAACAUGUUUCGCUGAUUGUGUAUGCUAAGGGUAUUUUAUAAAG